AUCGACAUACGGCUAGAGCUAAUUGGAGAGUUCUUGAAUAGUGUUGUGAACCUUCAUGAAAUCUUUGAUUAGGUCUGGUCGUGGUG
rnacentral:pre_miRNA from 1 species